rnacentral:rRNA from 1 species
UCUAAGUUUGAUGGCGACCGGCGCACGGGUGAGUAACACGUAUCCAACCUGCCGAUGACUCGGGGAUAGCCUUUCGAAAGAAAGAUUAAUACCCGAUGGCAUAGUACUUCCGCAUGGUAGAACUAUUAAAGAAUUUCGGUCAUCGAUGGGGAUGCGUUCCAUUAGGUUGUUGGCGGGGUAACGGCCCACCAAGCCUUCGAUGGAUAGGGGUUCUGAGAGGAAGGUCCCCCACAUUGGAACUGAGACACGGUCCAAACUCCUACGGGAGGCAGCAUG